rnacentral:rRNA from 1 species
GACGAACGCUGGCGGCGUGCUUAACACAUGCAAGUCGAACGGGCCCGUCUUCUUUUUUGGGGGCGGGUUGAGUGGCGAACGGGUGAGUAUCACGUGAGUAACCUGCCCUCCUCUCCUGGAUAACCGCUUGAAAGGGCGGCUAAUACGGGGUGGUCCGGUUGGUCCGCAUGGGCCGGCUGGGAUAGUUUCAUCUUCGGGUGUUUCGGUGGGGGAUGGGCUCGCGGCCUAUCAGCUUGUUGGUGGGGUGAUGGCCCACCAAGGCGGUGACGGGUAGCCGGCCUGAGAGGGUGGGCGGCCACACUGGGACUGAGACACGGCCCAGACUCCUCGGGAGGCAGCAGUGGGGGGUAUUGCACAAUGGGCGGAAGCCUGAUGCAGCGACGUCGCGUGAGGGAUGGAGGCCUUCGGGUUGUGAACCUCUGUUUCCGGUGGUGAAGGCCCUGCCCUUG